rnacentral:rRNA from 1 species
ACAUCCAGAGAAUUUAGCAGAGAUGCUUUAGUGCCUUCGGGAACUCUGAGACAGGUGCUGCAUGGCUGUCGUCAGCUCGUGUUGUGAAAUGGUUGGGUUAAGUCCCGNAACGAGCGCAACCCUUAUCCUUUGUUGCCAGCACGUAAUGGUGGGAACUCAAAGGAGACUGCCGGUGAUAAACCGGAGGAAGGUGGGGAUGACGUCAAGUCAUCAUGGCCCUUACGAGUAGGGCUACACACGUGCUACAAUGGCGCAUACAAAGAGAAGCGACCUCGCGAGAGCAAGCGGACCUCAUAAAGUGCGUCGUAGUCCGGAUUGGAGUCUGCAACUCGACUCCAUGAAGUCGGAAUCGCUAGUAAUCGUAAAUCAGAAUGUUACGGUGAAUACGUUCCCGGGCCUUGUACACACCGCCCGUCACACCAUGGGAGUGGGUUGCAAAAGAAGUAGAUAGCUUAACCUUCGGGAGGGCGUUUACCACUUUGUGAUUCAUGACUGGGGUGAAGUCGUAACAAGGUAAGCGUAGUGCU